rnacentral:rRNA from 1 species
CCCAGACUCCUACGGGAGGCAGCAGUGGGGAAUAUUGCACAAUGGGGGAAACCCUGAUGCAGCGACGCCGCGUGAGUGAAGAAGUAUUUCGGUAUGUAAAGCUCUAUCAGCAGGGAAGAAAAUGACGGUACCUGACCAAGAAGCCCCGGCUAACUACGUGCCAGCAGCCGCGGUAAUACGUAGGGGGCAAGCGUUAUCCGGAUUUACUGGGUGUAAAGGGAGCGUAGACGGUGAUGCAAGUCAGAAGUGAAAGCCCGGGGCUCAACUCCGGGACUGCUUUUGAAACUGUGUAACUGGAGUGCAGGAGAGGUAAGCGGAAUUCCUAGUGUAGCGGUGAAAUGCGUAGAUAUUAGGAGGAACACCAGUGGCGAAGGCGGCUUACUGGACUGUAACUGACGUUGAGGCUCGAAAGCGUGGGGGGCAAACAGGAUUAGAUACCCGAGUA